rnacentral:snRNA from 1 species
GUGCUUGCUUCAGCAGCACAUAUACUAAACUUGGAACAUAGUAAUGUGGCCUCUGUAUAAAGAUGACAUCCGAAUUCAUGAGGCGCUCUACUUUUCA